rnacentral:lncRNA from 1 species
GCAGUUUUUAAUUUGUGAACGUGUAAGUCAACUUGAUUUAGCUGAACAUAGCAGAGUCAUCAAUCAAACUGAUUGAUGACUAAGGGUCCGCAGGGUAACACAUCAUCAUAGUUGUUUCCAUGGUGAUGAAUUAUGAUGUCACAAACUCAUCAAGACUGUGACUCAGUGAACCAUCUAGACAGAGGAUGAAAUGCAGUAGUUCACCAACAUGUUAUGUUUCUAUGAACAACCAGAUGCAAACGUCCUGGCAUUCAUCCUGCCUGCUUGCUGUUUGUACCAUCUCCGUGGUAGCAACCAUCCAAGCUGCUGGAAGCACAGACUGAGCUCUAUGAGUCAAUUAUUUUAUAUACCUGGGAACGUGCUAGCCUUCCUGUCACUCUUUGAUGUCACUAUGUAGACAGUUUGCAGCCUAGGCAACAUGCCCCUAAAGCACUGGAAAUGGUUGGCCCUGAAGUGCUCCUAAGGUAACCGCAAGAUGAGGCAAAACAGGAUUGAGAUGAAAACCAAGCUCACCCACAUCCUACGUCAAUUAGCUAUUUUUUUUUCUGUGUAAACAAUGGGAGGGAGGUGGAUUGUAGCUUUUAUGGUAGAGGUUCCUCGGCACCUCCUGACGCCCCCAGGGGUCCCCCCUGCCACUGCCCUCAGCCCAAAUAUAAGCUGACAACAAAAUGUUUCUUCAAAGUGCUCAUUGUUUACUCUAUUCUGGCUUCUUCUUAAAGGUCAUCAUCAUGUUGAAUUAUCUUGAGAAAAUCCUCUGAAGUGUAUGUGUGUGUGUGUGUUUAGGAAGGAUGUGAGGAGGAUUGGGAG